rnacentral:rRNA from 1 species
UACGUAGGGUGCAAGCGUUGUCCGGAAUUAUUGGGCGUAAAGAGCUCGUAGGUGGUCUGUCGCGUCGGCUGUGAAAACUCGGGGCUCAACCCCGAGCCUGCAGUCGAUACGGGCAGACUCGAGUGCGGUAGGGGAGACUGGAAUUCCUGGUGUAGCGGUGAAAUGCGCAGAUAUCAGGAGGAACACCGGCGGCGAAGGCGGGUCUCUGGGCCGUAACUGACACUGAGGAGCGAAAGCGUGGGGAGCGAACAGG